rnacentral:rRNA from 1 species
UAACAGAGGGUUCGAUCUCAUGGCAUCAGUGAACGCUGGCGGGAUGCCCGCAUGCAAGUCGAACCCGGCAGCACGGACGCCGGGCUGCAGGUGGCGGAAGUGGCGAACGGGUGGUAAUGUAUCCGGAACGUGCCUAGUAGCGGGGGAUAACUACGCAGCGUAGCUAAUACAUACGCCCUUCAGGGGAAAAGCGGGGACCUUCGGGCCUCACGCACUGUAGCCGAUAUCGGAUUGGCUAGUUGGUGGGGCUGGCAGCUCACCAAGGCGACGAUCGUAGCGCAGUUGAAGGACAAGCCAGCCACACUGGGACAGGGCACGGAGGCCCAGACUUACGGGAAGGGCAGCCCGGUGGGGGUACCCGGACAAUGGGGGAAACCUGAUCCAGCAUGCAUCCCGCGUGCGAUGAAGGCCUUCGGGUUGUAAGCGCACGGCAGGAAAGAAACGGCACGGGAUAAUACCCUACAACUGACGGUACCUGCAGGGCUAAGCGCCGGCUAACUACGUGCCAGCAGCCGCGUAUUGCGUAGGGUGCAAGCGUUAAUCGGAAUUACUGGGCGUAAAGCGUGCGCGAGUUCGGAAAGAAAGAUGUGAAAUCCCAGAAGGCUUAACUUUGGAACUGCAUUUUUACCCAACUAUACCAGGCUAGGUGUCAGAGGGAGAGUGGAAUUCCGCGUGUAGCAGUGAAGAAUGCGUAGAUAUGCGGAGGAAUUUUCCGAUGGCGAGAGGGGCUGCGGCCUCACCCAGGAUAUUGCGGCGCUCCGCGAAAGCGUGGGAGCAAGCAGGAUUAGAUGCCCUGGUAGUCCGCCCUAUGACUGUUGGGGCCUUCGGGCCUUGGUAGCGCAGCUAACGCGUGAGGGUUGACCGCCUGCGGGGGGAGAAGUACGGUCGCAAGAUUAAAACUCAAAGGAAUUGACGAGGACCCACAAGCGGUGGAUGAUGUGGAUUAAUUCGAUGCAAGUAUGGAAUCCCGAAGAGAUUUGGGAGUGCUCGCAAGAAGGGAACGCCGGAACAUGAGUGCUGCAUAGCUGUCGUCAGCUCGUGUCGUGAGAUGUUGGGUUAAGAAUCCCGCAACGAGCAGCCCUUGUCAUUAGUUGCUACGAAAGGGCACUCUAAUGAGACUGCCGGUGACAAACCGGAGGAAGGUGGCGUCAGAAGUCCUCAUAACCUAUGGGUAGGGCUUCACACGUCAUACAAUGGUCGGGACAGAGGGUCGCCAACCCGCGAAAGAGGGCAAUCCCAGAAGCCCGAUCGUAGUCCGGAUCUGAUCUGCAACUCGACUGCGUGAAGUCGGAAUCGCCAAUCGCGGAUCAGCAUGUCGCGGUGAAUACGUUCCGGGUCUUGUACACACCGCCCGUCACCAUGCCAGGGGGUGUUUACCAGAAAUGUAUUAGUUAGCCCCUGUGCCGUAAGGAGGGGCGAUUUUGACGGUAGGAUUCAUGACUGGGGUGAAGUCGUAACAAGGUAG